UUCGCAAUGCCCGAAAGGGUGACGAAGCGACGCCGCGUGCGGGAAGAAGGCCUUCGGGUUGUAAACCGCUGUCGGGAGUUAAGAAAUGCAAGGAUAUUAAUAGUGUCUUUGCUUGACUAAGGCUCCGGAGGAAGCCACGGCUAACUCUGUGCCAGCAGCCGCGGUAAUACAGAGGCGGCAAGCGUUGUUCGGAAUUAUUGGGCGUAAAGAGCACGUAGGCGGCCUUGCAAGUCAGUUGUGAAAGCCUUCCGCUUAACGGGAGAACGGCAUCUGAUACUACAGGGCUUGAGUACGGGAGGGGAGAGUGGAACUUCUGGUGGAGCGGUGAAAUGCGUAGAUAUCAGAAGGAACGCCGGCGGCGAAAGCGACUCUCUGGCCCGAAACUGACGCUGAGUGUGCGAAAGCUAGGGGAGCAAACGGGAUUAGAUACCCCGGUAGUCCUAGCCGUAAACGAUGGGCACUAAGUAGAGGGGUUUU
rnacentral:rRNA from 1 species